rnacentral:rRNA from 1 species
AUACGGAGGAUGCAAGCGUUAUCCGGAUUUAUUGGGUUUAAAGGGUGCGUAGGCGGUUUGCUAAGCGGGAGGUGAAAUGCCGGCGCUCAACGUCGGAAGUGCCUCCCGAACUGGUGGACUUGAAUGACUCUGCCGUGGGAGGAAUGUGUAGUGUAGCGGUGAAAUGCUUAGAGAUUACACAGAACACCGAUUGCGAAGGCAUCUCACGAAGGGUUGAUUGACGCUGAGGCACGAAAGCGUGGGGAUCAAACAGGAUUAGAUACCCUGGUAGUCCACGCAGUAAACGAUGAUGGCUAACCGCUGGGCUUAUCAGUUCAGUGGCCAAGCGAAAGCGAUAAGCCAUCCACCUGGGGAGUACGACCGCGAGGUUGAAACUCAAAUGAAUUGACGGGG